UGGGGAAUAUUGCACAAUGGGGGAAACCCUGAUGCAGCGACGCCGCGUGAGCGAAGAAGUAUCUCGGUAUGUAAAGCUCUAUCAGCAGGGAAGAAGAUGACGGUACCUGACUAAGAAGCUCCGGCUAAAUACGUGCCAGCAGCCGCGGUAAUACGUAUGGAGCAAGCGUUAUCCGGAUUUACUGGGUGUAAAGGGAGCGCAGGCGGCCAGGCAAGUCCGAUGUGAAAUACCGGGGCCCAACCCCGGGGCUGCAUUGGAAACUGUCGGGCUGGAGUGUCGGAGGGGCAGGCGGAAUUCCUAGUGUAGCGGUGAAAUGCGUAGAUAUUAGGAGGAACACCGGUGGCGAAGGCGGCCUGCUGGACGACGACUGACGCUGAGGCUCGAAAGCGUGGGGAGCAAACAGG
rnacentral:rRNA from 1 species